rnacentral:rRNA from 1 species
CCUGAGUACGACGGAGCACGUGAAAUUCCGUCGGAAUCUGGGAGGACCAUCUCCUAAGGCUAAAUACUCUCUAGUGACCGAUAGUGAACCAGUACCGUGAGGGAAAGGUGAAAAGUACCCCGGAAGGGGAGUGAAAGAGAACUUGAAACCGUGUGCUUACAAGUAGUCAGAGCCCGUUAAUGGGUGAUGGCGUGCCUUUUGUAGAAUGAACCGGCGAGUUACGAUCUGAUGCAAGGUUAAGCAGAAAAUGUGGAGCCGUAGCGAAAGCGAGUCUGAAUAGGGCGAAUGAGUAUUUGGUCGUAGACCCGAAACCAGGUGAUCUACCCUUGGUCAGGUUGAAGUUCAGGUAACACUGAAUGGAGGACCGAACCGACUUACGUUGAAAAGUGAGCGGAUGAACUGAGGGUAGCGGAGAAAUUCCAAUCGAACUUGGAGAUAGCUGGUUCUCUCCGAAAUAGCUUUAGGGCUAGCCUCAAGUGAUGAUUAUUGGAGGUAGAGCACUGUUUGGACGAGGGGCCCCUCUCGGGUUACCGAAUUCAGACAAACUCCGAAUGCCAAAUAAUUUAACUUGGGAGUCAGAAUGUGGGUGAUAAGGUCCAUAUUCGAAAGGGAAACAGCCCAGACCACCAGCUAAGGUCCCAAAAUAUAUGUUAAGUGGAAAAGGAUGUGGCGUUGCCCAGACAACUAGGAUGUUGGCUUAGAAGCAGCCAUCAUUUAAAGAGUGCGUAAUAGCUCACUAGUCGAGUGACACUGCGCCGAAAAUGUACCGGGGCUAAACAUAUUACCGAAGCUGUGGAUUGUCCUUUGGACAAUGGUAGGAGAGCGUUCUAAGGGCGUUGAAGCAUGAUCGCAAGGACAUGUGGAGCGCUUAGAAGUGAGAAUGCCGGUGUGAGUAGCGAAAGACGGGUGAGAAUCCCGUCCACCGAUUGACUAAGGUUUCCAGAGGAAGGCUCGUCCGCUCUGGGUUAGUCGGGUCCUAAGCUGAGGCCGACAGGCGUAGGCGAUGGAUAACAGGUUGAUAUUCCUGUACCACCAUUAUUCGUUUUAAGCGAUGGGGGGACGCAGUAGGAUAGGCGAAGCGUGCUGUUGGAGUGCACGUCCAAGCAGUGAGAUUGAGUGUUAGGCAAAUCCGGCACUCUUAAGAUUGAGCUGUGAUGGGGAGAGGAACUUGUUCCUCGAGUCGUUGAUUUCACACUGCCGAGAAAAGCCUCUAGCUAGAAUAACGGUGCCCGUACCGCAAACCGACACAGGUAGUCAAGAUGAGAAUUCUAAGGUGAGCGAGCGAACUCUCGUUAAGGAACUCGGCAAAAUGACCCCGUAACUUCGGGAGAAGGGGUGCUCUUUGAGGUUCACGCUUCGAAGAGCCGCAGUGAAUAGGCCCAAGCGACUGUUUAUCAAAAACACAGGUCUCUGCUAAACCGUAAGGUGACGUAUAGGGGCUGACGCCUGCCCGGUGCUGGAAGGUUAAGAGGAGUGGUUAGCGCAAGCGAAGCUACGAAUCGAAGCCCCAGUAAACGGCGGCCGUAACUAUAACGGUCCUAAGGUAGCGAAAUUCCUUGUCGGGUAAGUUCCGACCCGCACGAAAGGCGUAACGAUUUGGGCACUGUCUCAACGAGAGACUCGGUGAAAUCAUAGUACCGGUGAAGAUGCCGGUUACCCGCGACAGGACGGAAAGACCCCGUGGAGCUUUACUGUAGCCUGAUAUUGAAAUUCGGUACAGUUUGUACAGGAUAGGUAGGAGCCUUAGAAGCGUGAGCGCUAGCUUACGUGGAGGCAUUGGUGGGAUACUACCCUAAUUGUAUUGGAUUUCUAACCCGCAGCACUUAUCGUGCUGGGAGACAGUGUCAGGCGGGCAGUUUGACUGGGGCGGUCGCCUCCUAAAGAGUAACGGAGGCGCUCAAAGGUUCCCUCAGAAUGGUUGGAAAUCAUUCAUAGAGUGUAAAGGCAUAAGGGAGCUUGACUGCGA